rnacentral:rRNA from 1 species
GGCUGAAAAGCGUAGUCGAUGGAAAACAGGUUAAUAUUCCUGUACUUCUGGUUAUUGCGAUGGAGGGACGGAGAAGGCUAGGCCAGCUUGGCGUUGGUUGUCCAAGUUUAAGGUGGUAGGCUGGAAUCUUAGGUAAAUCCGGGAUUCUAAGGCCGAGAGCUGAUGACGAGUUGUCUUUAGACGACGAAGUGGUUGAUGCCAUGCUUCCAAGAAAAGCUUCUAAGCUUCAGGUAACCAGGAACCGUACCCCAAACCGACACAGGUGGUUGGGUAGAGAAUACCAAGGCGCUUGAGAGAACUCGGGUGAAGGAACUAGGCAAAAUGGCACCGUAACUUCGGGAGAAGGUGCGCCGGUGAGGGUGAAGGACUUGCUCCGUAAGCUCAUGCCGGUCGAAGAUACCAGGCCGCUGCGACUGUUUAUUAAAAACACAGCACUCUGCAAACACGAAAGUGGACGUAUAGGGUGUGACGCCUGCCCGGUGCCGGAAGG